GGCGUUGCACUACUUUUUUCCAUGUGUAUAGAUACCCAAAUGGUGAUUGUGGCCAAGUUUGAUUCAACAGUUUCUGAUAUUUUUGUAAACAUACAAUAGAUGUCAAACAAAGAGAUUAUAUUAGUGUUGUCAAAUCGGGCACUUUUGCCCAACCGGUUAUUCGGAUAAUCGUUCGACCGAUUAACCGGUAGUUUAAGUUGAUGGUUGAAGGAAGUACACCACUAAUUCAUGGUCCCAUUACUUUCUAUGUUAAAUUCCUCCAUUUCAACUAGGCACACCUCUUUCAUUUUAAGUUCAAAUAAAGUGGCAAUCAUUGCAUUUCAAAGCAACACUUUAUGGUGUCUUCUACUGAAAAAAUCAACAUACCUUACAUGGCAUAUAAGAAAGAACUGGUUCCCGGAACUUCGGAUGUACCAAAACAGGUACUUCAGAUCUGACAAACAGACUAAAUGUACCCUCUUUUUAAAAUUUGGUGCAGUUUUUUUAAUAUUUAAAAUUAAAAAAUUAAAAGUCCAAAAGUGUUCUACAAUGAUCACCAGUCCUUUAGCUUUCAUUUGAUGCCAAAAAUACCUAAAUAUCCUACAUAUUUUGAAAGUUACACUCAUGCGUAGGAACUAUUUUGCGUUAAAUAUGUACUACUUUCUGGUAUGUGCUUUUUGGCCGGGCCCGAAUUAGUGGUGUUACACCUGAAGGCAUUAUCUAUGGUACCCUACACAUAGAUAUAAGAAGAUGUGGUAUUAGUGUCAAUAUGACAACUUUCUGUACAAGUUAUACAUUUACGUUUUUUAUAAUACGAUGAAUUGAAGUUUGUCCUUAUAAGGCAUUAUAAGGCUCGUCUUUGAAGAUUUCUGGCGAAGUUUGACUUAUAAUAAUCAUUUACACCGUAUCAACUAUGGCGUUUGUACUAACUUCAGAUUGAAAAAUAAACAAAUAAAAAACUCCUUGAUCUCGUAGAAUUCAAUAUGUCCGAAACCCAUGAUUCUUUCAUUUUCUCUUGUCUCCUAAAAUAAUGUGGAUCGAGUGUUUCAAUUUGAAAUGAGUAUGCCAAGGCUUGUUACUCGUACUAUCAAGUAUACAUUGAUAAAAUUCACAUUGGUUUGAAUUUCACAAUUUAUUAGUUGGCAUUUCGUUUAAAGUAUGACAAAGCCUUGCAUGAUGGAGGUUGCACAUACAGAUGUAGGUCUACGCAAAAUUAGAUCAAAAAUAAAAUAAUGAAGUAAAUUGUAAAACUUAAUAUUAUUACUAAUUUAAAGUUACUGUUAAAAUAACAUGUAAACUAAUUAUGUUUUCUCAAGAUCUUUCCCAAGGCUGAGAGCCCAAGUUCUAAUUAAUUUUAUUUUUUAUUUUUUUGGAUUAACAAUAACAAUAUACUGGACAAUUGAUCUGUGAAAUUAAUUAGCAUGAUGACAAUUUUUAUAGAAAACAUAACUAUUCAAUGAUUUCAAUACAAAUUUAAAUCAAAUCUUAUCAAAAUUUAAAAAAAAGGCGGGUUAACCGGUUAGCGUUUUGGGUAUUCAGUCGUUCAAACGGUUAACCGUUGACAACACUAGAUUAUAUAUAAUAAUUAGCUCAAGCUGGACAUUACCACCAGGUCCACCACUCUAGUAAUGUCAUAGUUCAAUAACAUUGUAAAGGCCACAGCUACAAACCUUUCAUCAGACACCAGGGGGAUUGAAAGUAUGGGCCAGAAAGUGUACCCCUGGCCUUGCAGUAAUAAAACUUUGAGCAAGAUUUUUGUACUAAAGACUCGGGCAAUCACCAAUUUUUAAAGAUGAGUUCAACAAUGACAUUAUUUAGAAUUUUUAGCAUAGAUAUUAGAUCCUUGCAAAAGUUAUGUAAUUAUCUUGACAAGUGUAACAUCAUUUAGUGCCUUGAAUAUCUGAGCAUAUAUUACAUUGAUAAUUUUCUGGAAAUGUUCAUGGAUAGGAUGUAUAGAAUGUUAUGAUUAAUACACUAUAAUCUGGUGUAUCAAAAAGGUAGUGAUCAGCCUUGGAAGAUUUAGAUAUCGUCAGUCCCAUAUGGUUUCAUGCAAUCUUUACCUAAAAAACAUCAGACCAGAACAAAAUUCAAACUAGAUCCAUAACUUGUUGUGGUCCAACUUUAUAAAAAAUAUCAAGUCAACAUCUUAAUGAAAGCAUAACAAAAUAAAAGGGGAAUAUUUCCAUGGAACACAGAUGAUGCCCCCCCCCCCCCCUUUUUGUACAUAGGAUGAAGUUCAUCUGAAGAACAAUGAAAGUGAUGCUACCCAAAAUUGUACUUUAUCUGAAUUUUGUGGUAGUAAGCAUUGCGUAUAAGAUUCAUAACAUUUGGUUGAGGCAAACUAAAGUUAGAUGGCGGAAACAAAAUUUGGGAAUGUGUCUAUAGGGACACAAAUGAUGCCCCCACUUGCAUAAAACUCUAUAAAGGAACAUUUACAAGAACUGUAAAAGUGACGCUACCCAAAUUUGAACAUACCCUGAAUUUUCUGAUAAUAAGCAUUGUGUAUGUGUAUUGUAAUAUUUGGUUGAUGCAAACUUAGAGGCACUAGCUGCAAAAUUCGUGUUCACCGAUUUGACUCAAAUUCUCAUAUUUUAUUUUUAACAAUACAAAAGUUUUUUCUGAACUAUCAACAGUAUAAAUUAAACAAUUUACAGGACAGGGUCUCAAUAAGAUGUAGCUUUGUUUCGUGUGAAUUUUAGCCAAGAUGUCAUCUAUUAACUAUCGAGUUGACCAUCUAUUUUGUGUGGAUCAAAUCAGUUAAUUAAAUUAUUUAAUUUGACAAAAUUAUUAGUGAACCAUUUUAACUGAUAAAAGCAAAUUAUUAUUUCACUAUUUCACUUUCAUUAAUGAUUGAACAAAAAAAUCAUACUUUAGAUUUUUUAUAUAUCUAG
rnacentral:lncRNA from 1 species